rnacentral:rRNA from 1 species
UACAGAGGUCUCAAGCGUUGUUCGGAUUCAUUGGGCGUAAAGGGUGCGUAGGCGGUCGUGCAAGUCGGAUGUGAAAUCUCAGGGCUCAACCCUGAAACUGCAUUCGAUACUGCGCGGCUAGAGUGUUGGAGGGGGGACUGGAAUUCUUGGUGUAGCAGUGAAAUGCGUAGAUAUCAAGAGGAACACCAGUGGCGAAGGCGAGUCCCUGGACAACACCUGACACUGAGGCACGAAAGCUAGGGGAGCAAACAGG